CCCAGACUCCUACGGGAGGCAGCAGUGGGGGAUAUUGCACAAUGGGGGAGACCCUGAUGCAGCGACGCCGCGUGGGCGAAGAAGUAUUUCGGUAUGUAAAGCCCUCUCAGCAGGGAAGAAGAAAUGACGGUACCUGAGUAAGAAGCACCGGCUAAAUACGUGCCAGCAGCCGCGGUAAUACGUAUGGUGCAAGCGUUAUCCGGAUUUACUGGGCGUAAAGGGCGUGUAGCCGGGCCGACAAGUCAGAUGUGAAAUCCGGGGGCUCAACCCCCGAACUGCAUUUGAAACUGUUGGUCUUGAGUAUCGGAGAGGCAGGCGGAAUUCCUAGUGUAGCGGUGAAAUGCGUAGAUAUUAGGAGGAACACCAGUGGCGAAGGCGGCCUGCUGGACGACAACUGACGGUGAGGCGCGAAAGCGUGGGGAGCAAACAGGAUUAGAUACCCCCGUAUG
rnacentral:rRNA from 1 species